rnacentral:rRNA from 1 species
UACGGAGGAUGCGAGCGUUAUCCGGAUUUAUUGGGUUUAAAGGGUGCGUAGGCGGCUUUUUAAGUCAGCGGUGAAAUUUUGCAGCUUAACUGUAACAGUGCCGGUGAUACUGGGGAGCUAGGAUUUGGUUGCUGUGGGUGGAAUGUGUGGUGUAGCGGUGAAAUGCUUAGAGAUCACACAGAAUAUCGAUUGCGAAGGCAGCUCACAAAGCCAAGAUUGACGCUGAGGCACGAAAGUGUGGGGAUCAAACAGGAUUAGA